rnacentral:rRNA from 1 species
AACGAACGCUGGCGGCAGGCUUAACACAUGCAAGUCGAACGCAUCCUUCGGGGUGAGUGGCAGACGGGUGAGUAACGCGUGGGAACGUGCCCUUCAGUUCGGGAUAACCCAGGGAAACUUGGGCUAAUACCGGAUACGUGCGAGAGCAGAAAGAUUUAUCGCUGAAGGAUCGGCCCGCGUCUGAUUAGCUAGUUGGUGGGGUAAUGGCCCACCAAGGCGACGAUCAGUAGCUGGUCUGAGAGGAUGAUCAGCCACAUUGGGACUGAGAUACGGCCCAAACUCCUACGGGAGGCAGCAGUGGGGAAUAUUGGACAAUGGGCGCAAGCCUGAUCCAGCCAUGCCGCGUGAGUGAUGAAGGCCUUAGGGUUGUAAAGCUCUUUCGUCCGGGACGAUAAUGACGGUACCGGAAGAAGAAGCCCCGGCUAACUACGUGCCAGCCGCCGCAGUAA